rnacentral:piRNA from 1 species
UGGGACUUCCAUUUUUAACCACGACACGGGA